rnacentral:misc_RNA from 1 species
GGAAGGAUCAUUAGCAAAUCACGGGAUGGGCCACCGAAGGUGGGCCAUCAUCAGUCCCAGGGAUGGAUGUCUGUAUGACUCUAUCUCUGUGAAUGUUCACGGAUGGGCAAUGCCUCGCCAUGAACCAAGUGCAACGCACAAGUAUAUACACACAUACAAUCAACACAAACAAAAAACAACUUUUAACAAUGGAUCUCUGGGCUCCUGCAACGAUGAAGAACGCAGCGAAAUGCGAAACGUAGUACGAUCCGCACACACCUGUGAGUCAUCGAGUCUUUGAACGCACAUGGCACACUCAGUGUCAACUGAGUGUAUACCUGUUUGAGCGAUGGAACACAUUUAUGAUCUAGAUCUAGAUCAUGAUCUGACUGCGUCUCAGUAUUGAGUCGGUCCAAAUAGAGCGUGUGGGGUGCAGGUGGAUGCUUCUGCCCCGUGUGAGAAUGGAUCGUGGAUCCUUGAUCGCGGGAGCAAGCAGAUUCACACCAUCUGUACAUACAACCACACACCGAGUCGUUAGACUCUCCCUUCGACAAAAUCCUCAAAUCAGGCAAGGCUACCCGCUGAACUUAAGCAUAUCAGUAAGCGGAGGAAAAGAAACUAACAAGGAUUCCCCCAGUAAUGGCGAAUGAAGCGGGAACAGCUCAAAUUUUAAAUCUCAUCACCUCCUGGUGAUGCGAGUUGUAGUUUAGAGAGGGAGUGCUGCAAGGGAAGGCAGGUGUUCAAGUCCACUGGAACGUGGUGCCAGAGAGGGUGACAGCCCCGUUGAAUGGCUACCUCCCCCGUAUAGCACCCCCUCGACGAGUCGAGUUGUUUGGGAAUGCAGCUCAAAGCGGGUGGUAAACCCCAUCCAAGGCUAAAUACAGGCAGGAGACCGAUAGCAAACAAGUACCGUGAGGGAAAGAUGAAAAGCACCUUGAAAAGGGAGUGAAAAGCACGUGAAAUUGUUAGAAGGGAAACGAUUAGUUUCUAGUACAUAGUAAUAUGGUCACAGCGUGUGAGAGGGGUGGGAAAGAGUGGGGAGGAAGGUGGUCUCUACAGACUUUAUAGCCUGCCCAUUGAACCAUCCCCCUGACACUUUUCUAUUGAUUGUGACAAAAUAGAACUAAACGACCCGUCUUGAAACACGGACCAAGGAGUCUAACGUGUGUGCGAGUAUUCGAGUGGCAAACUCGGGUGCGCAAUGAAAGUGUGGCUGUGGGAAUGUAAUAUACAUGCACCAUCUACCGACCACAAUACACUUGUGGUUUGAGUACCAGCACACCCGCUAGGACCCGAAAGAUGGUGAACUAUGCCUGAAUAGGGCGAAGCCAGAGGAAACUCUGGUGGAGGCUCGUAGACGUUCUGACGUGCAAAUCGAUGUUCAAAUUUGGGUAUAGGGGCGAAAGACUAAUCGAACCAUCUGGUAGCUGGUUCCUUC